CCUACGGGGGGCAGCAGUGGGGAAUAUUGCACAAUGGGGGAAACCCUGAUGCAGCGACGCCGCGUGAGUGAAGAAGUAAUUCGUUACGUAAAGCUCUAUCAGCAGGGAAGAAAUACUGACCUUACGGUCAGCAGAUGGUAUCUGACUAAGAAGCCCCGGCCAACUACGUCCCAGCAGCCGGCGUAAUACGUAGGGGGCAAGCGGUAUCCGGAUUUACUGGGUGUAAAGGGAGCGUAGACGGUCCGCCAAGUCUGGCGUGAAAUGCCGCAGCCUAACUGCGGAACGGCUUUGGAAACUGGCGGACUAGAGUGCAGGAGGGGUGAGCGGAAUUCAUGGUGUAGCGGUGAAAUGCGUAGAUAUUAGGAGGAACACCGGUGGCGAAGGCAGGUGACUGGAGCGUAACUGACGUUGAGGCUCGAAAGCGUGGGGAGCAAACAGGAUUAGAUACCCGGGUAGUC
rnacentral:rRNA from 1 species